CAAACGACUCUCGGCAACGGAUAUCUCGGCUCUUGCAUCGAUGAAGAACGUAGCGAAAUGCGAUACUUGGUGUGAAUUGCAGAAUCCCGUGAACCAUCGAGUCUUUGAACGCAAGUUGCGCCCGAAGCCACUAGGCCGAGGGCACGCCUGCCUGGGUGUCAC
rnacentral:rRNA from 1 species